rnacentral:rRNA from 1 species
GUCUAUGGUCAUACCACCCUGAAUGUACCUAAUCCUGUCUGAUCUGGUGAAGCUAAGCAGGGUUGGGCCUGGUUAGUACUUGGAUGGGAGACUACUUGGAAAUACUGGGUGAUAAAUGAAA